rnacentral:hammerhead_ribozyme from 14 species
CCACCGUCGGAAAGUGUGUACUUUCCCUGAUGAGUCCGAAAGGACGAAACGGUAC